ensembl:lncRNA
GGAAGACACUCGCAUAGUAUUGAUUACUGAUAUUCGCCAUCAUUCUCCUCCCCUCAAUUACUGGGAGUGGCUUGUGUCACUCGUAUAAAAGUGCCCUAGGGAGGAGUGUGCUGAAUGCAGAUGGGUGCCCUUUGAUGGAAAAAAUUGACUCCAGUCAGCAAGAACGGCGUCCUUUUUACAGAUUAUUAAUUCUCCAUUUUCCUCCAUCCUGAGCCUCAGAGGUUUUAAGCUAGGGCAUCGGGCAUCAUUGCCUUUUUCUUUCUAGUUGGGGCUCUGAUCAAACUUUCUAGGUCUGAGUUCACUCCUGGAGGGCUUGGGCGUUGUUGUAAGGCAUGCGUUUUUUAAUUCGGUAAAAAUUAAAUCUCUUCGGUUAAAUCUACUGUGAAAUUAAAACCUUGACUCAAACCUGACAUUCAGUAGAAUCCUUUGAAAGUGUCCUGAUUUUACGUCAACUCGAGUGGCCACAGUCGGCCUUGGGCCCCUUCCAAACUUUUCAGGCUCAGCUGCCUGACGGGAGAUGCAAGAUCAUUCUGAAAAGACAGACGCACAUUUCCAGGUGUGGAAAGAGCAGGCUGAGGUGGCUCAAGUUCAGAAGACUGGGUGUAGUCAGCCAAGAAAAUGCUUAGAAACGGAACUUUAUCCCAGUUUUAAGUGACUGUGCUGUUUGUGCUCGGCAAACAACACAUUGAAAUUUUGGGGGAGUGCUUCAAGUUGUAGAGGAACAAGAAGUCACUUCCAUCUGUGAACAUUCCACAGAAACUGACCCCGAGACUCACUGUGUUCCCUGAGGAUACAACAAGCAUGCUUCCCGUCCCCUCGCUACCGUGAUGCUUGCUCACAUACUGGAGGAAUCUGGAGAAGCUGCUGGAAAACUCAACAACUUUUAUGUGCACAAUAAUACUUGAGCCCUUGAUUUUUCUGAAAAAGAAAAAUAAAAGUUCCCGUCUGAAAUGGAAAUGUUUAUGCUAAAUUUCUAGAUGAGAAAGAUGCUACCUUCUCCCAAGGGAGGGUUUUAGGAUGUGAUGGACAUAGCCUCGCCGUAGCACUGUGUCUUAACUUUGCUAAGGAGCAAUGCAACAUUUGUUGAGUAUAUACUAUGUACCAUGACUGACAGGGAUGAAGGGCAGUCUCUGCUCUCAGGAAACUCAAUGGCUGGAAUAAUAAGCUUUCACUUUUGAAGAUGCAAGUAUCUCAGCAUGGGUUAUAUAAAAACUGUGCCUGUCUUUUGAGUCAAAGGAAAAUAGCAAACUGAACACCAAAGGAAAUUAAAGGAUGAAGAUAAACGUGCAGCUAGGGAGGUUGCAGUGGGAAUCUGGACAACCAGACUGUGAAGCUGUGACUGAAGAUUCAGAUGGAUAGCCCUUGUCUUCUCACGUUUUUAUGGGAAGUGAAUGGCAAGAGUAAUUCGGAGGGACCAAAAGGGAAACACCACCAGUUCUGGAGGCUGAUGUGCAGCCCCGGUGUGUAUAAACGGCUGGCUCAUAGACAGAUUGCCCUUUGUGAAGUCUUGUAUCUGAAUCCUGUAGGAGCGCGUUUUCUCUCCAGCCUCCCACAUCCCCGUCGCUCCCUGUCAUCUCUCACAUUGCUGCUGCUUUCGUUUAUAUUAUUUGGCUCAAGCAUGGGAUAUCUGAAUUGAAAUGCCAUCUUUUCCUCUUCUCUUCUGUCGCAGUGGAGCAAGUGUCUCUCUUCCUGUUGAUGGUCAGCCUCUGCCCCUGUCUUCUGGAUCCCAUCUCCUCUCCUCCACUCAAGUACUUUGGUCCUGCAAUUACCCCCUCUUUCUCCUCCUUCACCGAUCUCUCAUCCUCUACUAGAUUUUUCCAUUCAGCACAAAAGCAUGUUCUGCUUCCUGUCACCUCCAUAAAAACAGAAUGCCCAAUUUUCCCUUGACGUCACAUCUUACUUCUGUCUCUAUUUUAUUUGGGUGCUUAAGGGUCCCCUGCCGGAUGCUGGGCAGCCUUUGCCAGGAAAUUUUAUACAU